ACGGUCACCGACUUCAGGCACCCCCAGCUUCCAUGGCUUGACGGGCGGUGUGUACAAGGCCCGGGAACGUAUUCACCGCAUCAUGGCUGAUAUGCGAUUACUAGCGAUUCCAGCUUCACGUAGUCGAGUUGCAGACUACGAUCCGAACUGAGAUAGGGUUUGAAGAUUUGCUCCUUCUCACGAAGUGGCUGCUCUCUGUCCCUACCAUUGUAGCACGUGUGUGGCCCAGGACGUAAGGGCCGUGAUGAUUUGACGUCAUCCCCACCUUCCUCACGGUUUGCACCGGCAGUCUCACUAGAGUCCCCGACUUGACUCGCUGGCAACUAGUAAUAGGGGUUGCGCUCGUUAUAGGACUUAACCUGACACCUCACGGCACGAGCUGACGACAACCAUGCAGCACCUUGCAAAUUGUCCGAAGAAAAGUCUAUUUCUAAACCUGUCAAUCUGCAUUUAAGCCCUGGUAAGGUUCCUCGCGUAUCAUCGAAUUAAACCACAUGCUCCACCGCUUGUGCGGGCCCCCGUCAAUUCCUUUGAGUUUCAUUCUUGCGAACGUACUCCCCAGGUGGGUUACUUAUCACUUUCGCUUGGCCACUCAGUACUCAAUUGCACCAAACAGCUAGUAACCAUCGUUUACGGCGUGGACUACCAGGGUAUCUAAUCCUGUUCGCUACCCACGCUUUCGUCCAUCAGCGUCAAUAUAUUGUUAGUGAUCUGCCUUCGCAAUUGGUAUUCUAUGUAAUAUCUAAGCAUUUCACCGCUACACUACAUAUUCUAACCACUUCACAAUAAUUCAAGACUAACAGUAUCAAUGGCAGUGCCGGAGUUAAGCCCCUGCAUUUCACCACUGACUUAUUAGCCCGCCUACGGACCCUUUAAACCCAAUGAUUCCGGAUAACGCUUGCACCCUCCGUAUUACCGCGGUGCUGGGCACGGAGUUAGCCGGUGCUUAUUCUUACAGAACCGUCAAUCUUACCC
rnacentral:rRNA from 1 species